rnacentral:rRNA from 1 species
CCUACGGGUGGCAGCAGUGAGGAAUAUUGGGCAAUGGACGCAAGUCUGAACCAGCCAUGCCGCGUGCAGGAAGACGGCUCUAUGAGUUGUAAACUUCUUUUAUAAAGGAAUAAAACGAGGCACGUGUGCCGUUUUGCAUGUACUUUAUGAAUAAGGAUCGGCUAACUCAGUGCCAGCAGCCGCGGUAAUACGGAGGAUCCGAGCGUUAUCCGGAUUUAUUGGGUUUAAAGGGAGCGUAGAUGGGUUGUUAAGUCAGUUGUGAAAGUUUGCGGCUCAACCGUAAAAUUGCAAUUGAUACUGGCAGUCUUGAGUACAGUUGAGGUAGGCGGAAUUCGUGGUGUAGCGGUGAAAUGCUUAGAUAUCACGAAGAACCCCGAUUGCGAAGGCAGCUUACUAAACUGUGACUGACAUUGAUGCUCGAAAGUGUGGGUAUCAAACAGGAUUAGAUACCCCUGUAGUC